GAUAACAAUAAAAAAACAAAAUAAAGAAAUCACGAUUUCAAAAUUUGAAUAUCGUAACGCCAAAAGCUUCAAUAACUCUUCUUCUUCUUAAAACUCACAUCACACAUCUGAUACCUCCUCCUCUAACCCCAAAACAAAACAAAAAUGGCGUCUCUCGCACCAGGCAUCCUAUUGAAACUCCUCCAAUCAAUGAACUCCAACACUCGCCCUACCGGAGACCACAGAUCCGCCAUCCUCCAAGUCACCGGAAUCGUACCCGCCCUCGCCGGGUCCGAUCUACGCCCUAACCAAGGCUUCUACGUCCAGAUCUCCGACUCUCUCAACUCCACCUACGUCUGCCUCUCCGAGCGCGACACAGAUCUCAUCCUCACCAACCGUCUCCAGCUCGGCCAGUUCAUCUACCUCGAACGCCUCGAAUUCUCCACUCCUCUCCCGCGCGCCGCCGAAAUCCGCCCCGUCGCCGGCGGCCGUCAAGCCUUCGUCGGAACUCCCGAGCCGCUGAUCGCACGCGGAUCCAAGCGAGAUUUCGUCAUCCAGCCUGUCCCCGCUUCUGACUACUCCCUCGACCCAAUCGCUGUUUACUUAAACAACAAACGACUCAACGACUAUGACGAUGAUGACGUGGCAGCGGCGGUUACGAAAGAGAGGCCAGCUGUUUACUUGAACAACAAACGACUAGAUAACUAUGACGAUGACGUGGCAGCGGCGGUUACGAAAGAGAGGCCAGCUGUUUACUUAAACAACAAACGACUAGAUAACUAUGACGAUGAUGACGUGGCGGGGGCCGUUACGAAAGAGAGACCAGCGCUUGCUCCUGUGAACCAAAACCGCAAUGAGAGAACUAAGCAGACGCCGCAGAGAUUCUCCUCACCAGCUUCGGCUAAGCAGCGGUCAGUCUCAGCUGGGAAGAAGAAGAACAUCUCUGUAGAAAGAGAUCCAUCUCCUGCGGUUUCCGCAAAAGGGAGGAGAUCCGCGUCUCCGGUUCCGUCGAAAUGCGUAGUGCCGAGCCUUGCGGCGGCGCGUGAGGAGAAUAGGAAGGUUGCUAGAGAGGCAGCCAUCGUUGUGCCGUCAAGAUACAGGCAACCGUCACCUAACGGAAGGAAGGUGAUACCAUCUCCUAGUGGAAGGAGACUGUCGAUUUCGCCGGGGAGGAGGCUUUCAAGUGGUUUGAAAAUGUCUCCCAUGGUUGGAGAUUCUUCGGGAAGAAGAAGAUGGCGGCAAUUGCUGCGGGGAUUUCCAAAGUGUCUGAGGCUCUUGUCGGAUCUACAGCUAAGAAUGGUAACCGAAAGAACUGGGAUGAACCUGAUGGAAGUGUUCAAUCUGAGCACAAGGAGAAGAGGAAGACUGAUCUUCAAGGGAUUUUGCGUACUCAGGCUGCUAUGACGAGACGUCUUAGUGAUGCAAAUAGGCGAAAGAGUGAUUCUUCAGCAUGUGAAGAGAAAGCCAAGUCUUGUUCAUCUGCGAGUAGUUUAGUGGAAGAAGAAGUCUCAGCUUUUGAAGGACUUGGGAUCACUUAUCAUGAUAGGAAAUGGACGGAUGGUAGUGUUCCACUGGAUAGCAUCUCAGGGGACCUCGCUAGACUUGCAAAGGAAGCUUUGCAAAGAAGAAACUUUGCUGCUAAAGCUGCGGCUCGUGCAUUGGAGGAGGCUAAUGCCAAUGAGUGCAUUAUUAGAUGUUUAAGUAAAUUCGCUGAGCUUUCUUCAGCCUCCAAACAGGAGAAUCCAUUGCGAAUCAUCAACAAGUUUUUGACAAUCUAUGGAGAUGUUACGAAAUACAGUCAGAUUGUUUCUGAAGAUAGUUUUCGGUCUUCAUCUGAUCAACGAAGUCCAGUCUCUCUUUGGGUUGAAGCUGCAUUAGCAACUAACCUCGAGGUGGUCUCACUGGUCAAAAGCCAGAACAGCCUAGAAUCACCAUCUUCAGUGAAGAAACAAACGCCUACUCGCCUCUCUCCCGGACCUUCUACAAAGACAGACAACAUUGUUGGGAUGUGGACAGACAAAGAUGGCAUGAACGAGACAGCUAAAUUCGCAGUGAGCGUACGAUCUGAGAUGCAAACGUGGUUCAUUGGGUUCGUGGAAGAGUCGUUAGACAACAAAAAUGCGCGGCCUUUAGACGGUAGUUCCAUAGCUGCAGUUCUGUCUCAGCUGAAACAAGUCAACGAGUGGUUGGACCGUGUCGUGUCUGACCAAGAAAACCAGAUCCCAACAAUGCAUUUAACGGACAAGAUUGAACGACUGAAACGCAAAAUCUAUGGAUUCGUAAUCCACCACGUCGGUUCUACUUUUGACAACUCUGCUUCUUCUUGAUUCUUUCUUUAAUCUUUCGCUUUUGUCCUCAAGAUAACGUGAGGCUUAAGAUCAUUGGUUCGUAGAUCAUAUGAUUUUAUCCUUAGAUUAUUUUUGCUUGAAUUGUU